UUGUGUUUAGGCUAGUAGUGGAAAUCCUUUCGAAGCCUCCAAUGGGGGAAUGAAUAUGUUUCGGGAUGUGGUAAUCAAAAAAAGUUUGCAACGUAUAUCCCGACUUUUG
rnacentral:sRNA from 1 species